rnacentral:rRNA from 1 species
GACGAACGCUGGCGGCGUGCUUAACACAUGCAAGUCGAACGGAAAGGCCCCUUUGGGGGUACUCGAGUGGCGAACGGGUGAGUAACACGUGAGUAACCUGCCCUUGACUUCGGGAUAACUUCAGGAAACUGGGGCUAAUACCGGAUAGGAAUCCUUGCUGCAUGGUGGGGGUUGGAAAGCUUCGGCGGUUUUGGAUGGACUCGCGGCUUAUCAGCUUGUUGGUGGGGUAGUGGCUUACCAAGGCUUUGACUGGUAGCCGGCCUGAGAGGGCGACCGGCCACAUUGGGACUGAGAUACGGCCCAGACUCCUACGGGAGGCAGCAGUGGGGAAUAUUGCACAAUGGGCGGAAGCCUGAUGCAGCAACGCCGCGUGCGGGAUGACGGCCUUCGGGUUGUAAACCGCUUUCAGCAGGGGCGAAGCUUGUGGUGACGGUACCUGCAGAAGAAGCACCGGCUAACUACGUG